rnacentral:rRNA from 1 species
UACGGAGGGUGCUAGCGUUGUUCGGAAUUACUGGGCGUAAAGGGCGCGUAGGCGGCCGUUUGCGUCGGAUGUGAAAGCCCCGGGCUCAACCUGGGAAUGGCCGUUGAAACUGGCGAACUGGAGUGUGGCAGAGGGGGGUGGAAUUCCGCGUGUAGCAGUGAAAUGCGUAGAGAUGCGGAGGAACACCGAUGGCGAAGGCAGCCCCCUGGGCUGACACUGACGCUCAGGCACGAAAGCGUGGGGAGCAAACAGG